UGCCUGAGAUCGACAGACCCGAAAGCAA
rnacentral:piRNA from 1 species